UACGUAGGGUCCGAGCGUUGUCCGGAAUUAUUGGGCGUAAAGGGCUCGUAGGCGGUUUGUCGCGUCGGGAGUGAAAACACGGGGCUUAACCCCGUGCCUGCUUCCGAUACGGGCAGACUAGAGGUAUGCAGGGGAGAACGGAAUUCCUGGUGUAGCGGUGAAAUGCGUAGAUAUCGAGAGGAACACCUGCGGCGAAGGCGGGUUGCUGGGCCGUCCCUGACGCUGAGGCGCGAAGGCGUGGGGAGCGAACGGGG
rnacentral:rRNA from 1 species